UAAUUAUACGGGUCUGUCCUUUUGUUUUCUUUUAUUCACAUGCAUCUACGUACGAUAUAAUCUCUGUGGUCUAAAUUGCAUUCACAUGGCCUAAGCUGAGCUAGGUUCCAAUGAUCCCAGCUCAUCAAUUAAAAUCAUGAAUAUACCAUGAAAGUGGGAGCUAGCUAACUAAGGAUACACAUACGUAUAUGUAUAUACGUGUGUCUGUGUAAGCUGAGGUAUAACCGUAUAAAACGAAGUAAUUAGAAUGUAUGUUAAUCCAUCGAGUUCAAGGUUGAUCUGGCAAUGAAUGUGAGGUAUAUGCAAGGGACUGUUCACUCGACAAGGGUUUGCAUGGAAUUUGACACCCCGUGCCUUCGAUCAAUUAGUACUCUACUACUACUACCAGCGCGGUCACCUGUUUUAUAAUCCAUACCCUACAAUAUAUAUAUGUUCCAGAUUGAGGAAAAUAGACCAAACGGCAAAUUAAGUAAGAGAUACCAAAUGGCUACUGGUAACAACAGAGUUGAUCUCCAUGCAUGCAUGUCUGGCAUGAAAUACAAGAAAUCUGGAGGUUUCCUGCAGCCUGCACAAGUUUUCCUUCAAAUGCAAGUAACGAUGAAACUAUUCAAUGCCCGGAUGAAGCUAGUAUGCGGAUUUAGAAGAGUAAUUGUGAAACAAAUCAAGUCAGAAAGUUCCCAGCAGAGAGCUAAGUAAAUUGGGUGUAUACAGUAGCUGCUACAAUUGCGUCUCCGAAUCCUUUCUAUCACGAUGACUCUUUGUUCAGAAGGACGUACAGAUUCCACGCAUAUAAUGGAUAAUGUAAACAAAAAUACAACAUAUAUACCGUAAGUAUCGAUC